AUCUUUUUAGUAUAUAUAAUAUAUUUGACUUCCAAUCAAAUGAUCUCAUAAGAGAAAAGAUA
rnacentral:tRNA from 1 species